CCUACAACAGAACGGUGGAAACAACGGACACGUGAACAAACUUGAGGACAUUGCAGAAGCCACCACGGGUGCUGGGGCCGGUGGAAUGAGCGCCAUUUGGAAAGGUCACGGAGCGGAUUCAUGAGGGCCCAUCAUUCCCAAACGUAAGCCACGGAUGCUCUAGAGGGCCAGGAUUUCAAAACUACGGCACUAAGAAGCUGGAGGCCUACCCAUCUGGCCCUCGGGAUAGGCGGCUCGAACCCCGAGCUGGGCCCGCCAGCCACUCACCUAUUGCGGUCCGCGCCGCUGAGACGAUGACCACGGGGUCGCAGCCUGCACUCAUUCUGCCUCGACCAAAUUUGCCGCCGUUCUCCGUCAGCGAUGCUCGAAGAGUGAAGCAACGCACUCAAGCGUGGCUUAUAGGCCGCGCUGAGGGCGGAGUCGGAGGCCACCCCGCCUCCGCCGCCCCCCCCCCGCGUGGCUCUCAGUGCGCAGGCUCGAGGCCGGAAGUCGGGGGAGCGAGGCGGGGGAGCGAGGCGGGGGAGCGAAGCGGGGGGCGGGGUCAGGAAGCUAGUGGUUUUCUGGGCCAGGGUGGGUGGUUUGGGGAUUCGUGUCGCUAAGAGGUUCCCUGAGUGGGAGGAGGGUGUCCGGCGGAGUGGGCCUGGGGGUUCUUGUACCGAGGGGAGGGAAGGUUCCAGGGUGGGUGUCUGGGGGUUCCCUGAACGAAGAUACGGAUAGGGUGCUGGCUUGGAGGGCAGGAUGUUCUCUGGGUGAGGCAGUGUCCGAGGUGGGAUCUGAGGAUUCUAGGGGCCCGAGGUAAGGGCCGGGGGCGCGAUGGAGCCGCGGAUCUUAGACGCGCACACACCCUUCAGAUCUUUAUCUGGGCCGCCAGUGUUGUAGUACCUUCUCUCAUGUUUUGGGUUGUUGUUUUGUUUACCUGGGAGUUUUUCUGAACGCAGAGAGUGGGAGUGACUAAAGAGGAUCUGCCCUUCAGCCCGGGACUCGAGUCCCACUGGCAAGAAUCUCCAGUGGGAAUCCUGCCAACUACAGGACUGAGGACAUUUCCGAUGUGUCCUUUUGCUCUCAUUGGCUUUGAAUAUUCCUCCACUUUUUGCCUGGGUGCCAUAAACAUCUUCUGCCUCACAUUCCCAGAGACAGCAGCAGGACUGUCCUUUUGUCCACAUCAGAAGUUCUUUUGUUUGACUUGACAGUUUAGACAAUGAAACACUAAAGCCUCAGCUCAGGCUCUUUCCCUCUGCACACCUCCAUGGCCUGCUGCAGCGGCUCCUGCUGUUUUGAAAGGAUCUCCAUCCUGUUUGCUUUCGACGCUGCCUACUCCCUAGGAAGGAAAGGGUUUCAAGGCCAAAUCAAUUUCUCCCCCUCACUGGGAUAAGUGGGGCCUCACAUAUGCUUGGCUGAAGUGCAACAACUGAUCUACUCCACUAGCAGCCAGAUUACUUCUAAGAGACUACACUUAACUAAGCCUGUGACAUUAGCCUUCAUCUUUACCUAAAAUCUUCAUAAUUUGCAUUUUUAAAGUUAUUGCAUUGUUA